UACAGAGGUCCCGAGCAUUGUUCGGAUUCAUUGGGCGUAAAGGGUGCGUAGGCGGCGGGGUAAGUUUGAUGUGAAAUCCCCGGGCUCAACCCGGGAACUGCGUCUGAUACUGGAAGGCUUGAAUCCGGGAGAGGGAUGCGGAAUUCCAGGUGUAGCGGUGAAAUGCGUAGAUAUCGGGAGGAACACCCGCGGCGAAGGCGGCCACCUCGGGUCGGCCCUGACGCUGAGGCGCGAAGGCGUGGGGAGCAAACAGG
rnacentral:rRNA from 1 species